UGAUACCGGUGUUCGUGUCAUCCUCAGGCCAAAGUGACAUAACUGAACGAUGACAUUUUGAUCAGUCUCAGACAAAUGCAGAGGAAACAAUGGAAACGAUGACAUCUGAUUGUUACAGGUUCAUUUGAUGGUACGUGGGGAGGUGGUAGAGUUGUGCUAGUUGACCUUAUCCUGGAAUAUGUAAAGGUUAUUGGUGGCUGCCACAGCGAUGAUGUUCUCAUAAGGAUGC